GUCCUCAGGAUUCCUCCAUGUGGCAGCAGGUGUCAUGGCUCCUUUGCUUGAAGGCAGCGUAACUUCAUUGUGUGGAUUCCCAGGAGCCCCCAACCGCACUGUCUCUCCUUCCUCAGUGCCUUUUAAAGGUGGGCAUCACAGUCUGAACACGUUCCAUGCAGAUUCCAGAAACUGCUAAUUCAUAAAUUGUCAGUCAUGAGCUUUCCCGAGGAGCCUGGUUAAUCCCUUGCCUCCCUCCUCUCCGCUACUCACUAAGCAUGGAGCGGACAUCUUCAUUCAGCAGAUCCAUGCUGCACUGGAUUGGGAUCUGUCAGUCACUUCACAAUGGGUUUGGUGAUCACAUGGACUGUUGCUCUCUCCAGUGUGAUGUUGACAUUUAAGGCCCAGAGCAGCUGAUGCCAUGGCACUGUGCCCCCACCCUUUCCUCAUUUCCUGUCAUCACGGAGAUUUUGAUCAGCUUGCAGCAUCCCACAGGUGCCCCCGUAGUGAUCCGCACAGAGGCUCUGCCAUUUGACGUCCCUAACAAGAGGCCCUGGCACUGGCCUCUGUCUCCACAUCCUGGGACCUUUUCCUGUGUUCACUUUCUUGCUGGAAGCAUCCUGAUGCCUGGGAAGUGGCCUUUCAUUGUCCUAUGAGGAGUGCUGUACAGUGGCUGUUCAUAGGUGCACUGACCAUUCGUAUAUUCUGUUUAGAAUAAUUCUGUGUAUUGAAGUCUGUUGUUCAUUUUCAAAUGGAGUUUUCUAGGUUUUAUGUAUACGUUUUGCAGGUGUUACACUCUUGUCGUAUGUAACCUAAAAUUAUUUUCUCAGUAUUCUGCCAUUAGUUUGGCUCUUUCCUGGGCUAAUAAUGACUUCAGUUAUAGGAUAGUAUUUAAUUCUCAUGAAGUCCAAAAUGUGUAUUUUCACCUU